AAUCUGUGACGAAUUUUAAUUGUAAGAGUAGUGGACAGAAGUGAUUUCUGACUAAUUCUACACUGAGAUU